AUUGAACGCUGGCGGCAGGCCUAACACAUGCAAGUCGAACGGUAACAGGAAGCAUCUUGCUGCUUCUCUGACGAGUGGCGGACGUGUGAGUAAGGUCUGGGAAACUGCCUGGUGGAGGGGGAUAACUACUGGAAACGGUAGCUAAUACCGCAUAACGUCGCAAGACCAAAGAGGGUGACCUUAUGGCCUCUUGCCAUCGGAUGUGCCGAGAUGGGAUUAGCUAGUAGGUGGGGUAACGGCUCACCUAGGCGACGAUCCGUAGCUGGUCUGAGAGGAUGACCAGCCACACUGGAACUGAGACACGGUCCAGACUCCUACGGGAGGCAGCAGUGGGGAAUAUUGCACAAUGGGCGCACGCCUGAUGAAGCAAUGCCGCGUGGAUGAAGAAGGCCUUCGGGUUUAAAAGUAUUUUCAGCGGGGAGGAAGGACGUAAAGUUAAUCCCUUUGCUAAUUGACGUUACCCGCAGAAGAAGCACCGGCUAACUCCGUG
rnacentral:rRNA from 1 species